AUUCAAGAAUAUUGGCAAACGUUAAACAAAAGAAUACUGGUGGGAGUAUACUGGGUAGUUGUUGUUGUUGUUAAACAAAAGAAAAACCCAAGAAUGACAAAAGAAUACUGCACCAACAGCAACUUCAAUUUCGAGAACACAAACAUUGUUACCCUAACAGUAAGUGGGGCUUUGUAAAAAGGAUAGUACCUAGGUUUGUUCUAGUAAUUCCUCAGAAUUCUUUACAAGGUAUGAUCAAUCUUCAAAGAAUAAUGCAAUUAAAACUUCAAGGCAAAACAAGGAAUAUAACUUGUACAAAGUGACUGAAGGAUUACCACAGUGAGUGCUGAUGCCACUGAUGGAGCUAUCAACUUUAGAUCUUGAAGAAAUACAGCUACUAAUAAACCUCAACUUUAUCCAACAACCACUCUCCUCCACUUCCCCUUCUUUUUUCUUCCUUCCCUUUGAUUUCUCUACCUCCCAAGACUCCCCCUUUACACCAUCACCACCUAAACCCAUACUUAACAAUACCAAAACUCAAACUUAAAAAUCAUCAACCCCUUUCCCCGCCGCACAACCUAAAAAUUGUUCUUUUUCCAAACCUGUGUGCAGUAAUCUCCAGAACCCUUAACUAUCGACUAAACAAUUGAACCACAGUUCCCUAAAAUGACCUAAAUAGAGAAAGAAAAAGGAAUUCCAAAUAUCUUCACAGCCAAACCCUCCAAUAAAUAUACAGAUGAAAUAGCUCAGACCCAGUUCAGAAGAUCAAGACAUUGAAAGCCUCCAAAAGAGCUAAUUUUGAUUUAUAUCACAAGCAAAGCAAAGAGCACUGUACAACGCAAAGCUGCUACUUCAGAUAAUCCCACUGCAAAAAGAAAUGUCUGCUGCCCAAAGAUAUUGAAAUCUUAACAAAUAUGCUGCUUGACCAGUUCCUGGCUCCUUAAUAUAAAAAAUAAAAAAUAAUAUAUAUACAGAGAGAGGAGAGUAAUAUAUGUCUAGUUACAGGAAUGUAUGUCUGAGUGGGGUAUAAUUGGAUAACAAAAGUUACUAUAAAUUGACAAAAUCCUGAAAAUAAAUAUGUACUGUGUAUAUAAAAAGUUUUGUAAAAU
rnacentral:lncRNA from 1 species